GAACGCACCUUGCGCCCUUUGGCUAUUCUGAAGGGCAUGCCUGUUUGAGUAUCGUGAACACCUCAACUCUCGUGGCUUGCCAUGAUGAGUUUGGACUUGGGGGGUCUUGCUGGCCUGUGGUCGGCUCCUCUCAAAUGGAUCAGCUUGCCAGUGUUUGGUGGCAUCACAGGUGUGAUAACUAUCUACGCUUGUGGUUUUCCACCAGAUAACCUUCAGUGAUGGAGGUUCGCUGGAGCUCAUAAAUGUCUCUCCUCAGUGAAGACAGCUUUUUGAACGUUUGAUCUCAAAUCAGGUAGGACUACCCGCUGAACUUA
rnacentral:misc_RNA from 1 species